AGAGUUUGAUCCUGGCUCAGGACGAACGCUGGCGGCGUGCCUAAUACAUGCAAGUAGAACGCUGAAGAGAGGAGCUUGCUUUUCUUGGAUGAGUUGCGAACGGGUGAGUAACGCGUAGGUAACCUGCCUUGUAGCGGGGGAUAACUAUUGGAAACGAUAGCUAAUACCGCAUAACAAUGGAUGACCCAUGUCAUUUAUUUGAAAGGGGCAAAUGCUCCACUACAAGAUGGACCUGCGUUGUAUUAGCUAGUAGGUGAGGUAACGGCUCACCUAGGCGACGAUACAUAGCCGACCUGAGAGGGUGAUCGGCCACACUGGGACUGAGACACGGCCCAGACUCCUACGGGAGGCAGCAGUAGGGAAUCUUCGGCAAUGGGGGCAACCCUGACCGAGCAACGCCGCGUGAGUGAAGAAGGUUUUCGGAUCGUAAAGCUCUGUUGUAAGUCAAGAACGAGUGUGAGAGUGGAAAGUUCACACUGUGACGGUAGCUUACCAGAAAGGGACGGCUAACUACGUGCCAGCAGCCGCGGUAAUACGUAGGUCCCGAGCGUUGUCCGGAUUUAUUGGGCGUAAAGCGAGCGCAGGCGGUUUGAUAAGUCUGAAGUUAAAGGCUGUGGCUCAACCAUAGUUCGCUUUGGAAACUGUCAAACUUGAGUGCAGAAGGGGAGAGUGGAAUUCCAUGUGUAGCGGUGAAAUGCGUAGAUAUAUGGAGGAACACCGGUGGCGAAAGCGGCUCUCUGGUCUGUAACUGACGCUGAGGCUCGAAAGCGUGGGGAGCAAACAGGAUUAGAUACCCUGGUAGUCCACGCCGUAAACG
rnacentral:rRNA from 1 species